rnacentral:rRNA from 1 species
ACGAGGGGGGCGAGCGUUGUUCGGAAUUAUUGGGCGUAAAGGGCGCGUAGGCGGUGCGGUAAGUCACCUGUGAAACCUCUGGGCUUAACUCAGAGCCUGCAGGCGAAACUGCCGUGCUGGGGUGUGGGAGAGGUGCGUGGAAUUCCCGGUGUAGCGGUGAAAUGCGUAGAUGUCGGGAGGAACAUCAGUGGCGAAAGCGACUUCCUGGACCAGUACCGACGUUCAGGCACGAAAGCGUGGGGAGCAAACAGGA